UUGAGGAAGAAUCGCGCGGCGGACGGGGGAUUCCAGAUGGUGGUUCUUCUUCGUUUUUCUCUCUGUUUUCUUGUGUUUUCUUCUUCUCCUUGUUUCUGUUCUCCUGCUUCUAUGUUUCUUUUUCGGUCUCUGAUGAUGGUGGAGCUGCUGUUGAUGGCAGUGCUGCUGGUGCUAGCGGUGGCGGACUGGGAAGCUGAGGCUGGCCGAUGGUUCUUUUUUCUGUGUUUUCAUUGCCCUCUAUUUCUGCCCUCCCUCCUUUUCUUUCUCCUUUUCUUUGUUUUGUUUCAG
rnacentral:lncRNA from 1 species